CUGGAGACAGGUGCUGCAUGGCUGUCGUCAGCUCGUGUCGUGAGAUGUUUGGGUUAAGUCCCGCAACGAGCGCAACCCUUGCCUUUAGUUGCCAGCAGUUCGGCUGGGCACUCUAAAGGGACUGCCGGUGUUAAACCGGAGGAAGGUGGGGAUGACGUCAAGUCCUCAUGGCCUUUAUGACCAGGGCUACACACGUACUACAAUGGCCGAUACAAAGGGCAGCGACACUGCGAGGUGAAGCCAAUCCCGUAAAAUCGGUCUCAGUCCGGAUUGGAGUCUGCAACUCGACUCCAUGAAGUUGGAAUCGCUAGUAAUCGUGGAUCAGCAUGCCACGGUGAAUACGUUCCCGGGCCUU
rnacentral:rRNA from 1 species